UAGUAUCUACAAACAAUAAUAGACAACACUUACAUAAUGGUUACUACGUGCCAGGCGCUGUUCUAAACAUGCUGUUAGCAUCCCCGUUUUACAUCUGAGGAACCCGAGAGAUUUAAGUAACCGUCCCACAGCCAUGCAGCGAGCAAGCAGCCGGGGCUUGAAACCAGGCAGUCUGUUUCCUGUUCUCAUACUAUUAUGAUUCCCCUCGGGGCCCUGAGGCAUCGGUGGCCUCAAACCUUAAAAAGUCACUGGUGAGCAUAUAGAGAGCCGUUAAUUUGGGAGGAAAGAAAAGGAGCGGCUAAAAGCCUUCUAAGCUUUAUUUAAAAAAAAAAAUGCUCCAUAUACAAUAACGAUGACAGCUUAACUCAGAAAAACUGACGUCAUGUCUGCCAAAUAACUCCAGCCACUGCGGCCCUCAGGACCCCUCCCCUGGCCUCACAGCCGCAUUCUGCUACUGCAGUGGAGCAAAUGCGCAUGCCCUGGCGAGCUGCCAUUGCCAGGGAAACCAACCUCCUCAUAAACAAAACACAGUCUAAUGCGGCAAGUCAGGAAACUACUGGGACUGAGGCUGUCAGCCAAAGGAGCCCCUUGCAAUAACCGCGGGCAAGGCAGCCUCCCACUCACGCGCCCCCGCCCCACCCUUUUUUUUUCUUCCAGAAUUAGUAAAGCUAGAGGCCCGGAGCAGAAGUCAACAGAGAAAGAAAGCUUCGUUGGGGGCCCAGGAGAAGGCUAUAUAGGCAAGGCUCAACUGGAAGCUGACCUAAAUCUUGGUUAAGUGGCUUGUAAUUCUCCCUGGGAUAUAAGUGGAAUACCAACUUCAUGUACACCUGGCUUAUUCAGCACCCAUAAAAUUCAAUGGACCACCAUCCAGACAAAAGGAUAAAAACAGAACACAUCAAGAUAAUGAAUUUUCUUCAAACUAUUCAGGUACAGUGAAAAAUGGAAGUAUUAUCUCAGAAAUUACAACUGAGAGGGAUGAAGAUAUAGCAUAUGCUAUACCUAAAAGAUACAUCAAACAGGAUAUUGGGAAUAUUGAAUAUUGGAAUUGAUGAAAUUUAAUUUACGAUUGUCCUAUAAUGCCUUUUCAUUACAGUACCACACAAAUUGAGGCAAUAAAUGCAUAUUUGAU